CCGAAUCUACAUCCAUCACUUUCCAAUGAAUAAUUCAAUUUUACGCCAUACUAUCAUUUCAUAUUCGAAUACUCAUAAGCUUACAAUAUCACGAUUUAGAAUUCAAGUAUGGGUUUAAUCAAUAGCUUAUGAGCAACUAAAACAAGUUUUAUCCAUGUUUACAACAAAAUCACAUAUUCACUACGAUCUGUUUUCCUGAGCAAUGGUCACUAAAUUAUUUAUAACCGGAGCUACAAAACUCCAAAUCACUUGCCGUUAAUUUUUCCUGAAUAUAGACUCGUAUAUCUUCCAUCCAUAAAAUUUCCAGAAUUUUAGGUUUGGCCAAUCAAUACCAGAUUUUUCUUAAAGUUUCCCCUGUUUCACUGUUUGACUAAUCUGACCACUCUUCACUACGAAUCAAAUUUAUCAUUUUACAGAAUUCAAAAUAUGUUGUAUUUGAUUUCAUUUGAAACUACACUCAUUAAGGAGUCUAAGCAUAUAAAUUUUAUCUUAUAACCAUUUU
rnacentral:lncRNA from 1 species